rnacentral:rRNA from 1 species
ACUGUUCAAAUGAAAAAGUUUGAUUUUAAUAAAAAGACGAGAAGACCCUUAGAAUUUUUUUUAAAAAGGAUUUUGUUCUUAAUGAUUUUGUUGGGGUGACAGAGAAAUAUUUAGAACUUUCUUUAAUUUUACAAGCCGAAUUUUUUAAGCAAGAAUAAAUUACCUGAGGGAUAACAGCAUUAUUCUAUAGACGAGUUUGUGACCUCGAUGUUGGACUAGGAAACUAGCAGGCUAGCCGUUUGCUGUGUGAGUUCUGUUCGAACUUUAAUUCCU